UGAGGAAUAUUGGGCAAUGCCCGAAAGGGUGACCCAGCAACGCCGCGUGGAGGAUGAAGGUCGUAAGAUUGUAAACUCCUGUUAGAGGGGAAGAAUAUCUAAGUUUGGAGCUUAGUAUGACUGUACCCUCAGAGAAAGCCCCGGCUAACUACGUGCCAGCAGCCGCGGUAAUACGUAGGGGGCAAGCGUUGUCCGGAUUUACUGGGUGUGAAGGGCGCGCAGGCGGAAUGGAAAGUCAGUGGUGAAAUCCUACAGCUUAACUGUAGAACUGCCUUUGAUACUUUCAUUCUUGAGUUCGGGAGAGAGAGACGGAAUUCCAGGUGUAGUGGUGAAAUACGUAGAUAUCUGGAAGAACACCAGUUGCGAAGGCGGUCUCUUGGUCCGAUACUGACGCUGAGGCGCGAAAGCGUGGGGAGCAAACA
rnacentral:rRNA from 1 species